UACAGAGGUCUCAAGCGUUGUUCGGAUUCAUUGGGCGUAAAGGGUGCGUAGGCGGCGCGGUAAGUCGGGUGUGAAAUCUCGGGGCUUAACUCCGAAACUGCAUUCGAUACUGCCGUGCUUGAGGACUGGAGAGGAGACUGGAAUUUACGGUGUAGCGGUGAAAUGCGUAGAUAUCGUGAAGGAAGACCAGUGGCGAAGGCGGGUCUCUGGACAGUUCCUGACGCUGAGGCACGAAGGCCAGGGGAGCAAACGGG
rnacentral:rRNA from 1 species